rnacentral:tRNA from 1 species
ACUUCUAAAGGAAAGUAGUUAUCCAUUGGUCUUAGACACC